CCCUCUGUGGUGCAAUUUUCACUUUGAAUGUACUUACUUGUUUAUUUUAAUCUUAACUAUAAAAACAAGAGUUAAAAAUGUCUUCUUUAUUUUGCUUCAAUCAUGUUGUACGGCUAAUCAAUGCAGUAUAACAAUCAAUCUCCUUUCAUAAGGAGAAAAAAGAGAGAAAAUUCUGAUAAAGAUACUGUUGAGGAAGUCAGAUUGGAAGCAACAUGCUUACAUACAUGUGUUUGGAUGUCAUCUGAUUUUAAUGGCUGGUGGAACAUUGAACAAAUUGUGGCAAAAAUGUGUUCUCAGCCAACGAAGAAUAGAUGUGAUCUGCUGAAGCUACUGUACAAAGGUGUGUUGGGUUAGUUUGCACUGCCACCUGGUGGUUGACUUCAAUGUAGUUUUGCAUGUAAACUCCCAGAAUGGAAGCUUUUAAUUUCAGUAACCAGUGUGAUGGUAAAACCAGUCUCAUCUUUGUAUCAUAAACCACAGUAAACCUUUCACUAAAAUCAUCUUUCCAUUAUUCACUUUUAUCCAUGUGUAAGUCAUAUUUUGAGUCUAGUAACAAACAAAACAAAAACAAAAAAAGACACUGAGGCGGAAGAUCAGCUAGUUCAAGCAGUUCAGCGUAAAUUAUAUCAGAUGAGUAAGAGAGGAUCACCGCCAAUUCUAGAGGUGUAAUGCAUGCUGGGAGCGGGUGUUCAUGAGAGAUAAAGACCUGCUUGCGUCCAGAUACCUCAGGGUGACACCAUUAAACAACUCCUCCCAAAAUUUAACUAGGCUUCGAGUAACCAGCAGUAAAACAAAAACUAUGUGCCAUAAUUUUUGACAGGAAGUACACUAUAGCCUUUUCAGAUCAAAGCCUUAACAAAAGCAAUCUUCUCAAUUCUAAAACAUUUUUUUAACCCCCAAAUUUUAUUUUUCCCAGAUAGAAAGAAAGUGUCAGAGCUGACUCUUCCCUCACAUCCACUACCCCAAAAAAUACUGAUAGAGUCUGAACCCAAAGUGAAUGGUUUAAAAUAGAAAUAAUGAAUAAAUGAAUAUUUAAUCAUCUCUCUAAAGCUUGAUGAGCUACGUCUUUAGGGAAAUGCUUCCUCAAUAUAAGUGAAAAGCAUCUGUGCAGCUAUUUAAUUAUACAAACACUCUGCAUUAACUAUGAAUUGCAUUCAGGUGCAUUAGGAGGACAUCACUGGUGCACAUGACAGGGUAAAAAAAAAUCAUUGUAGGGCUUCAGCAGAGCACUCACAAAGCACAGCACGAAUGCCUUUCAUUCAAAUUAAAUGGGAUAAUACUCACAUUAUAUCCACGUAGAAGGUCAUUUCAUAAUGCAUGCGCAGUCGCAGAUGGAGUGACCAGGUCAAGACAGAAAGAGGGAGAGGGGGACAAAAGUGCAUCAAUAAAAAAAACACUUUUCUGUUUAAACAGUACAGAUUUUAAGGAUUUAGUUAAAAGCUGAGGUAGACAAUAAUAUUAUACAUGAUAUUAAUAAAUGGCACUGCCUGUUAAGAAGUAGCAUGCAGUGCUAGCAUCAUUUGAAGCACAUGAAAGGAAGGGGAAUGGGCCUGGUUAUAGGUGACUUAUCAGCUGUCCGCUCAAAGUAAUUACAUCACCAAAUGUUUUCUUUCUCGGCUUCUUUUUCUCCACAUUAACAAACAGGCGUUGAGUUUUUACACAGUUACUACACCACUGCUGCUACCUGCAUUCUUCCUAUUAUGCUAAGUAUGUAAAGUAUUUAGGGCCCGGGAGGUUUGAGGUACUGGGAGCAGCCUAACGACACACCUCUGCAUUCAUUUGUGGGCAUUUUUCUUUCUUGUUAUGAAGUCAUAUUACUGCAGUAGGUCAGCAGUUCUACUUAUCUUUUUGUUUUCCUUACCACAAAUACUCCUGACCUCGCAUAAUCCUUCUAAAUGCGUUGCAGUGAACUCUUCAUGAACCACCGCCGUGAAGAAAACACGCCGCGAAAAGCUCCUGCAGGUGAAAAAAAGGUGUGCAACCUAAACACAAGCAGUGUCUAAGACUGCGGGUCAUACCUGAACACGUAGCAGUCUCCUCUGUGCGUCUUCUCCACCUUCAGCUUGCUGCCAUAAUUCCGGUGUUUACCUUCAAGACUAGUUGGAAAGUAUCGAUGGGGUUUCCACAGGGAGGCGGUGACGCAGUCACAAUGACGAAGCACUAAGUACUGGUGAUGGGUGGAGAUCAGAGGUGGGAGCUUUGCUCAAAAUCCUCAUGGGGUUCUUAUUUAGUUCUCACACAGUCUGUAAAGCAAAGAUCUUUUUUCUCACACGCAAAGACAUUUUUGUUUGAGCCUGUCUUUACAGAUGAGUGUAAGCGGCACUGCUGAGGGGACUGACUCGGGGCUGCUCUGCCAACUAUAUGACAACUUUAGGGCCUGAGUACCUGAACAGCUUCUUCUAGUAAACUGUUGGAAACUUUCAAUGUGAUAUCAUAAGUCACUAGAGCUAUUUGUGUCUGUGUGUGUUUUGUUUUUAUUUUACAGCUGACUCCACACAGAGGCGCUGUUGUGCAUGCAUGUGUGAAAGUGCAGG
ensembl:lncRNA